UACGGAGGGUGCAAGCGUUAUCCGGAUUUACUGGGUUUAAAGGGUGCGUAGGUGGGUUUAUAAGUCAGUGGUGAAAUCUUCGAGCUUAACUCGGAAACUGCCAUUGAUACUAUAGAUCUUGAAUUAUCUGGAGGUAAGCGGAAUAUGUCAUGUAGCGGUGAAAUGCUUAGAUAUGACAUAGAACACCCAUUGCGAAGGCAGCUUACUACGGAUUGAUUGACACUGAGGCACGAAAGCGUGGGGAUCAAACAGG
rnacentral:rRNA from 1 species